rnacentral:lncRNA from 1 species
ACUAUGGCAUGGACCCUCAUCCUCGAGCCCCACUACUCAGAGGAGCUGGGAAGAAUUUCCACCCUUCCUAGUGGCAAGUCUCACUGUGAGAGCGGAGUGCCACCAGGCAAACAGGGCAGAAAGACUGCUUUAAGGAGAAUCCUUAUAUUGGGGGUUAUGAAGUGCAAUACACCCUCAUCCUCACGCUAACACUGGUACCAUGUAGCCCAAGCUUGUCUAACCUGCAGCCCGCGGGCUGUGUAUGGCCCAGGACAGCUCUGAAUGUGGCCCAACGCAAAUUUGUAAACUUUCUAAAACAUUAUGAGAUUUUUUUUUCUCAUCAGCUAUCAUCAGUGUGAGUGUAUGUUAUUUGUGACUCAAGACAAUCCUUCUUUUCCAAUGUGGCCCAGAGAAGCCAAAAGACUGGACACCCCUGAUGUGGCCCUUUCAUCCAUAGUAGCCUAUUUUGUCCUAAAGACGGUCUUGUGCAGUGAGUAGGCCAGGCCUCCCCACUACCACAGUUUACAGGCAAGGAAUGUGAUAUUUCAUAGGAUGACCCUGACUGGCACCUACAUUGCUAGCCAAAGAAUGGCACAAAGAUGUGGACAGAAGAGACAACCUUAAGCAGCUGACUGCUGGCUCCUGCAACAGUAUCAUCAUGGCAUUUGUCCUGGGGUCCCAAGGAAAGAAAACAAAUCUGUGGCUGAGGAACAGACUGAGUUGACAAAGCAGCUUCCACAGUAACACAAGGACAAAGGGUGUAUGUAGAUAUGCACGUGGUAGCAGGUUCUACUAAAGGAACCUGGACCGACCAUUCUCACUCACAUUCUUUGGGAGCUGUAUUCUAAUACUUUCAGAAAAGCCAUGGGAACACACCAGAGUGACUGCUCGAGUAAAUAAGUAGCAUAAACAGCAAGCCAAACCAUUGAUGUACACAUCACUGGGCCCAAUACUAUGAAAUCCCACAUAAGAAACUUGAAAGUGAAAGCUGGAAUUCUGAGGAUACUGGUUUUGCUUAAUAAACAGCAUUUCAACAGUUAUUGUCAUGAUAUUGCUACUGAUGCUGAACAAAGACCCAAGAACCAGGGUGAUGUUUAGCAUGGGCUGGCCUCAGCAGGACUGAAAGGACAUCAAUAAGGGAGAACAGAGAGAAGGAAGGAGGACAAGUGCCAACUUUGAGCAGAAGCAGCCUCCAAGUGUUUUCUCUGCUCUCCGGCAAGCACGUGACCUGACCACUGCUGCUAUCUGGAAAGGAAGUGGUGGAAUGUGGAAGUUUACAGGGCGUUCGUGUACACGCAUCUUCUGGCCCAGAGCCCGUGGAAUCCAGCCAGCAGUUGCUGUGCCACUGUGUUCUCUGGCCUCCCCCUCUCAGCGGCCUUGGGCAGCCUGGGAAUCUCCGGCUUCGUGCUUUUCUGAGGGGACAGGCCUUUGAGCAGAGUUUUAGGAAGUUGGUCAAAACAACAACAACAACAAAA